rnacentral:rRNA from 1 species
GACGAACGCUGGCGGCGUGCUUAACACAUGCAAGUCGAGCGGUAAGGCCCUUUCAGGGGUACGACGAGCGGCGAACGGGUGAGUAACACGUGGGUGACCUGCCCUCAGCUCUGGGGUAAGCCUGGGAAACUGGGUCUAAUACUGGAUAUGACUCCACGGUGCAUGUCGUGGGGUGGAAAGCCUUGUGCGGCUGAGGAUGGGCCCGCGGCCUAUCAGCUUGUUGGUGGGGUGAGNGGCCUACCAAGGCGACGACGGGUAGCCGGCCUGAGAGGGCGACCGGCC